rnacentral:rRNA from 1 species
AUUGAACGCUGGCGGCAGGCUUAACACAUGCAAGUCGAGCGGGGUGAUGGUGCUUGCACUAUCACUUAGCGGCGGACGGGUGAGUAAUGCUUAGGAAUCUGCCUAUUAGUGGGGGACAACAUCUCGAAAGGGAUGCUAAUACCGCAUACGUCCUACGGGAGAAAGCAGGGGAUCACUUGUGACCUUGCGCUAAUAGAUGAGCCUAAGUAGGAGUAGCUAGUUGGUGGGGCAAAGGCCUACCAAGGAGACGAUCUGUAGCGGGUCUGAGAGGAUGAUCCGCCACACUGGGACUGAGACACGGCCCAGACUCCUACGGGAGGCAGCAGUGGGGAAUAUUGGACAAUGGGGGGAACCCUGAUCCAGCCAUGCCGCGUGUGUGAAGAAGGCCUUAUGGUUGUAAAGCACUUUACGCGAGGAGGAGGCUCUUUUGGUUAAUACCCAAGAUGAGUGGACGUUACUCGCAGAAUAAGCACCGGCUAACUCUGUGCCAGCCGCCGCCGUAA